rnacentral:rRNA from 1 species
UACGAAGGGGGCUAGCGUUGCUCGGAAUCACUGGGCGUAAAGGGCGCGUAGGCGGAUCUUUAAGUCAGGGGUGAAAGCCUGAGGCUCAACCUCAGAAUUGCCUUUGAUACUGAAGAUCUUGAGACCGGAAGAGGUAAGUGGAACUGCGAGUGUAGAGGUGAAAUUCGUAGAUAUUCGCAAGAACACCAGUGGCGAAGGCGGCUCACUGGCCCGGUACUGACGCUGAGGUGCGAAAGCGUGGGGAGCAAACAGG